UACGUAGGGUGCAAGCGUUAAUCGGAAUUACUGGGCGUAAAGCGUGCGCAGGCGGUUGUGCAAGACAGAUGUGAAAUCCCCGGGCUCAACCUGGGAAUUGCAUUUGUGACUGCGCGGCUAGAGUGUGUCAGAGGGGGGUAGAAUUCCACGUGUAGCAGUGAAAUGCGUAGAGAUGUGGAGGAAUACCGAUGGCGAAGGCAGCCCCCUGGGAUAACACUGACGCUCAUGCACGAAAGCGUGGGGAGCAAACAGG
rnacentral:rRNA from 1 species